UGUGCUGUAGCGCAGGCGGUUGCGCUGACGUCUGUCGUUCGUCUGGUCACGGGUUCAAUUCCUAUGCAGCACCU
rfam:Caenorhabditis remanei strain PB4641 contig1211.3, whole genome shotgun sequence.